rnacentral:rRNA from 1 species
GAUGAACGCUGACAGAAUGCUUAACACAUGCAAGUCAUUGGCGAAGCUGCGCUUGCGCAGUCUAGCCAAGGCGGACGGGUGAGUAACGCGUAAGGAACUUGCCCUGCAGACAGGGAUAACAGACGGAAACGACUGAUAACACCUGGUAUUGUCAGGCUGGCGCAUGCCGGCCUGAUGAAAGGAGACGCUGCAGGAGAGCCUUGCGUCCUAUUAGCUAGUUGGUGGGGUAACGGCCCACCAAGGCGAUGAUAGGUAGCCGGCCUGAGAGGGUGAACGGCCAAAAGGGGACUGAGAUACGGCCCUUACUCCUACGGGAGGCAGCAGUGGGGAAUAUUGGACAAUGGGGGCAACCCUGAUCCAGCAAUUCUGUGUGCACGAAGAAGGUUUUCGGAUUGUAAAGUGCUUUCAGCAGGGAAGAAGAAAGUGACGGUACCUGCAGAAGAAGCGACGGCUAAAUACGUG